rnacentral:tRNA from 1 species
GUUUAAGUAGUUUAAGUCAAAAUUUGAAUUUGUGGGAUUCUAGAUAUAUUUAUCUUAAAUA